GACGAACGCUGGCGGCGUGCUUAACACAUGCAAGUCGAACGGUAAGGCCCUUCGGGGUACACGAGUGGCGAACGGGUGAGUAACACGUGGGUGAUCUGCCCUGCACUUCGGGAUAAGCCUGGGAAACUGGGUCUAAUACCGGAUAGGACCACUGCCUGCAUGGGUGGUGGUGGAAAGCUUUUGCGGUGUGGGAGGGGCCCGCGGCCUAUCAGCUUGUUGGAGGGGUGAUGGCCUACCAAGGCGACGACGGGUAGCCGGCCUGAGAGGGUGACCGGCCACACUGGGGCUGAGAUACUGCCCAGACUCCUCCGGGAGGCAGCAGUGGGGAAUAUUGCACAAUGGGCGCAAGCCUGAUGCAGCGACGCCGCGUGAGGGAUGACGGCCUUCGGGUUGUAAACCUCUUUCAGCACCGACGAAGCGCAAGUGACGGUAGGUGCAGAAGAAGGACCGGCCAACUACGUGCCAGCCGCCGCCGUAA
rnacentral:rRNA from 1 species